AACGAACGCUGGCGGCAGGCCUAACACAUGCAAGUCGAACGCUCCGCAAGGAGAGUGGCAGACGGGUGAGUAACACGUGGGAAUCUUCCUAUUGGUUCGGAAUAGCUCAGGGAAACUUGGGGUAAUACCGUAUAAGCCCGAGAGGGGAAAGAUUUAUCGCCGAUAGAUGAGCCCGCGUCUGAUUAGCUAGUUGGUGAGGUAAUGGCUCACCAAGGCGACGAUCAGUAGCUGGUCUGAGAGGAUGACCAGCCACACUGGGACUGAGACACGGCCCAGACUCCUACGGGAGGCAGCAGUGGGGAAUAUUGGACAAUGGGCGCAAGCCUGAUCCAGCCAUGCCGCGUGAGUGACGAAGGUCUUCGGAUUGUAAAGCUCUUUUGCCAGGGACGAUAAUGACGGUACCUGGAGAAUAAGCCCCGGCUAACUUCGUGCCAGCAGCCGCGGUAAUGCACGACU
rnacentral:rRNA from 1 species